AGAACAAAAAUCAUCGUGGAAUUGCGACAGUACGUGCAGUACGUCUCUCUCAUAUAUUCAGUGAAAUGUUAUAUAUUUGUAGUGAUUGGGGCACUGAUGAAGACGAUCCAAACUUUAAAGGCUACCACACUUUUGUCUCGGAUCCACUAGAAGGAUUUGGUCACAUUGCACUGGCGGUUCCUGACGUUCAUGAAGCAUGACAAAAAAUAUGUUACCUUUAUAAGCGAUCCUGACGGAUACUUGUAUGAAUUUGUUGGAAAAAAUAAUAUGUAACACCAUAACAAUACCUAUACUUAUUUGUUCAAUAGAUAAUUUUUUAUUAUAUCUAAUUUAAAAUGAA